UACGUAGGCAGCGAGCGUUGUUCGGAAUUACUGGGCGUAAAGAGUGUGUAGGCGGUGCUCCCAGUCUGUUGUGAAAUCUCCCGGCUUAACUGGGAGGGUGCAGCGGAAACUAGAGUGCUAGAGGGUGGGAGAGGUAAGCGGAAUUCCUGGUGUAGCGGUGAAAUGCGCAGAUAUCAGGAGGAACACCGGUGGCGAAGGCGGGUCUCUGGGCAAUAACUGACGCUGAGGAGCGAAAGCGUGGGGAGCGAACAGG
rnacentral:rRNA from 1 species